GAGGAAUGGCGGGGUGCCUAUACAUGCAAGUCGAGCGAACAGACGAGGAGCUUGCUCCUUUGACGUUAGCGGCGGACGGGUGAGUAACACGUAGGUAACCUACCUAUAAGACUGGGAUAACUUCGGGAAACCGGAGCUAAUACCGGAUAAUAUUUCGAACCGCAUGGUUCGAUAGUGAAAGAUGGCUUUGCUAUCACUUAUAGAUGGACCUGCGCCGUAUUAGCUAGUUGGUAAGGUAACGGCUUACCAAGGCAACGAUACGUAGCCGACCUGAGAGGGUGAUCGGCCACACUGGAACUGAGACACGGUCCAGACUCCUACGGGAGGCAGCAGUAGGGAAUCUUCCGCAAUGGGCGAAAGCCUGACGGAGCAACGCCGCGUGAGUGAUGAAGGUCUUCGGAUCGUAAAACUCUGUUAUUAGGGAAGAACAAACGUGUAAGUAACUGUGCACGUCUUGACGGUACCUAAUCAGAAAGCCACGGCUAACUACGUGCCAGCAGCCGCGGUAAUACGUAGGUGGCAAGCGUUAUCCGGAAUUAUUGGGCGUAAAGCGCGCGUAGGCGGUUUUUUAAGUCUGAUGUGAAAGCCCACGGCUCAACCGUGGAGGGUCAUUGGAAACUGGAAAACUUGAGUGCAGAAGAGG
rnacentral:rRNA from 1 species